rnacentral:rRNA from 1 species
UACGAAGGGAGCGAGCGUUGUUCGGAAUCACUGGGCUUAAAGCGUGCGUAGGUGGAUUGGUAAGUAAGGAGUGAAAUCCCAGGGCUUAACCCUGGAACUGCUCUUUAGACUGCCUGUCUGGAAUUCGGAAGAGGUUGGUGGAACUCCCAGUGUAGAGGUGAAAUUCGCAGAUAUUGGGAAGAACACCGGUGGCGAAGGCGACCAACUGGCCCGAUACUGACGCUCAUGUGCGAAAGCGUGGGGAGCAAACAGG